GUUAAGCGAUUUAUAGUGAAACUGCGAAUGGCUCAUUAAAACAGUUAUAGUUUAUUUGAUAAUCGAAUUUUACAUGGAUAACCGUGGUAAUUCUAGAGCUAAUACAUGCUGUUAAGCCUGACUUUUUGGAAGGGCUGUAUUUAUUAGAUACAAACCAAUAUUCCUUCGGGUCUAUUGUGAUGAUUCAAUAUAACUGAUCGAAUCGCAUGGUCUUGCACCGCGAUAAAUCAUUCAAGUUUCCGCCCCAUCAGCUUUCGAUGGUAGUGUAUUGGACUACCAUGGCUUUCACGGGUAACGGAGGAUUAGGGUUCGAUUCCGGAGAGGGAGCCUGAGAAACGGCUACCACAUCUAAGGAAGGCAGCAGGCGCGUAAAUUACCCAAUCCUGACUCAGGGAGGUAGUGACAAGAAAUAACAGACCGGAGCCUACGGUUCCGGGAUUGCAAUGAGUACAAUUUAGACUCCUUAACAAGUAACAAUU
rnacentral:rRNA from 1 species